rnacentral:rRNA from 1 species
AUUGAACGCUGGCGGCAUGCUUUACACAUGCAAGUCGAACGGUAACAGGCCGCAAGGUGCUGACGAGUGGCGAACGGGUGAGUAAUGCAUCGGAACGUGCCCAGUCGUGGGGGAUAACGCAGCGAAAGCUGCGCCAAUACCGCAUACGAUCUAUGGAUGAAAGCGGGGGACCGUAAGGCCUCGCGCGAUUGGAGCGGCCGAUGUCAGAUUAGGGAGGUGGUGGGGUAAAGGAGCUCCAAGCCGACGAUCUGUAGCUGGUCUGAGAGGACGACCAGCCAGACUGGAACUGGGACACGGCCCAGACUCCUACGGGAGGCAGCAGUGGGGAAUUUUGGACAAUGGGGGCAACCCUGAUCCAGCAAUGCCGCGUGCAGGAAGAAGGCCUUCGGGUUGUAAACUGCUUUUGUACGGAACGAAAAGACUCUGGUUAAUACCUGGGGUCCAUGACGGUACCGUAAGAAUAAGCACCGGCUAACUACGUGCCAGCCGCCGCGGUAA